UACGGGGGGGGCAAGCGUUGUUCGGAAUUACUGGGCGUAAAGGGCUUGUAGGUGGCCAACUAAGUCAGACGUGAAAUCCCUCGGCUUAACCGGGGAACUGCGUCUGAUACUGGAUGGCUUGAGUGUGGGAGAGGGAUGCGGAAUUCCAGGUGUAGCGGUGAAAUGCGUAGAUAUCUGGAGGAACACCGGUGGCGAAGGCGGCAUCCUGGACCAUUACUGACACUGAAAGGCGAAAGCCAGGGGAGCAAACGGG
rnacentral:rRNA from 1 species